GAAUACAUAGAUAAUCUGCCUUCGAGUCGGGGAUAACCAGUCGAGAGACUGGCUAAUACCGGAUAAGACCACAAGAUCUGCGGAUCAAGGGGUUAAAGGUUUUUCGCUUGAAGAUGAGUCUAUGCGAGAUUAGCUAGUUGGUGAGGUAAUGGCUCACCAAGGCGACGAUCUCUAACUGGUCUUAGAGGAUGAUCAGUCACACUGGAACUGAGACACGGUCCAGACUCCUACGGGAGGCAGCAGUAGGGAAUAUUGCGCAAUGGGGGAAACCCUGACGCAGCGACGCCGCGUGAGUGAUGAAGGCCUUCGGGUCGUAAAGCUCUGUCGUAUGGGAAUAACACAAUGAAUGUACCAUGCAAGAAAGGAUCGGCUAACUUCGUGCCAGCAGCCGCGGUAAGACGAGGGAUCCUAGCGUUGUUCGGAAUCAUUGGGCGUAAAGCGGGUGUAGGUGGGCUUCUAAGUCAGAUGUGAAAUCCCAGGGCUCAACCCUGGAAGUGCAUUUGAUACUGGAAGUCUUGAGUGUGGUAGAGGUUACUGGAAUUGUUGGUGUAGUGGUGAAAUACGUAGAUAUCAACAGGAAUACCGGAGGCGAAGGCGAGUAACUGGGCCAACACUGACACUGAGACCCGAAAGCGUGGGGAUCAAACAGGAUUAGAUACCCUGGUAGUCCACGCCAUAAACGAUGGAUACUUGUUGUUAGAGGUAUUGACCCCUCUAGUGACGUAGCUAACGCGUUAAGUAUCCCGCCUGGGGAGUACGGUCGCAAGAUUAAAACUCAAAGAAAUUGACGGGGGCCCGCACAAGCGGUGGAGCAUGUGGUUUAAUUCGAUGCAACGCGAAGAACCUUACCUAGGCUUGACAUAAACUGGAAGAGUGGCAGAAAUGUCCUCGCUCGCAAGAGUCGAAAAACAGGUGCUGCAUGGCUGUCGUCAGCUCGUGUCGUGAGAUGUUGGGUUAAGUCCCGCAACGAGCGCAACCCUUACCUUUAGUUGUCAGCAUUUAGUUGGACACUCUAGAGGGACUGCCUGCGUUAAGCAGGAGGAAGGUGG
rnacentral:rRNA from 1 species